UUCAAACUCAUCACCACUCCAAAUUACUAAAAUAAAACAAACAGCUCAAGGAUCCCGUGAUAAUGGCAGUGGGUCACCCUUGCGCCAAAUGAUGAGGUGGUUGAGGGUGGGCAGUCCAUUUUAAGUCACUGCCGUUAAUCUACCCCACAGGUUUUGAAAUGAUUCUUCUUAAGAGCAUAGAAGGAGUUUAUUUUUCAUGCCUGUUCUUGAAAUAUGCUACAGAUGCUAUGGAAAACAAGGACAAGAAGUGGGAGGCAAGAGUUCUUAGAUGAGAUUUAUGAUAUUACUUGCCAAAGAGUUUUGGUCUUUGCUUUCUUAUAUUUCAAAAUUGUGUCCCACAGGUCUUAAUAACAACAGCUUGGAGUUAAUUGAGUGGCUGAUGAGAAAAACAUACGGUCCUCCCUGGCACCAGGGCCUCUGCUUGGCUCCCGUCCAACAUUCACUCCCAAAGGCCAAGGAGCUGUGGGACCAGAACCCCCCAUAUUUCUCUGGAAUUCCAAAUUGUGGGACUGUCAGUUCUCUAGGCCUUCAACCCCAUGAACUGAAUUUAAAAGAGGUCUCAGCCGUGGAAACGAAGCCUUCACAUGUCCCCUCAACCUUCAUGGAGUGAUGAGGAGGCCCUCGUUCUUGCUGUGACCUGCCAUUCCCAGGCAUCCUCCAGUCUACUUGCAGGGACCAAGGUGGAGGGCACACACGUGGGUAAGGUCAGGUGAGCCCAGUGGAGAAGCAUGAACCAGCUCAGUCUUAGACCCAGUUCCCCGAGUCUCCUGCCAGUGGUGAAUUUCAGCUGAUGUUAUUUAGGUUCUGCCGCCCCUGAGACAGCUCUCUCCUGUCUUUCACUUAAUUCUCACAAGUCCG
ensembl:lncRNA